UGGCCUUGAGGAAAUCACUCCGGGCCCGAUCCCUUUGACUUCACAACUUUCCCAAUUCCCCCCCUCUGUUAAAGGGGUUAACAAUACCCAACACCCAGGGGUUUGCGAGGGUUAGUUAAUAUGUGUAUAGCACCUGGAAGAUCGAAAGCGCUAAGUAAUGUAAUUUCUUUGUACAUGUAUACGGAUUGUUUUUGCAUUGCCUUACACCAAUGGAAGGGACCAUUAUAAAUACAAUUGCUAUUUAACUCUUCUGGAUUUUUAAAUAAUUGUUUCAUUUGGUUCGGAAAUGGGACAUUCUGGAUUUCCUUGUCAUUUGCAGCCAUAAACCAUCCCUUUUCUAGUGCAGAUUAGCAAAGAAAACACAAUCUCUCUCCUCCCCAACCUGCGGACAUUUUUUUUCCUUCUUCCGCACUAAGAAUUCCAAACAGCUCGUCUGACAAUUGCAGCCGGUCAAAAAGAGAAAGGGAUGUUGUUCUGUUCAUCUGUCAUUUGCACAUGAAGUCAUCAUUCAACCCAGAAGUAGUCCAAAUAUAUAGAGAGAGCUGUGUGUGUGAUUGUGCAGAGUAAACAAAGUGGAAGCUGUUCUCUCAAACUCUUGCUUUUGGGUCACCAUUCCCACAGUGCCGCUGCUGAGUUAUGUAGGUUACAAAGGGAGGGAUGGAGGAAGCUGAGCUCUAGCCUCUGACGUCCGCAUUUUGUUUCAGGGCUGCAGCUGCGCCCUGUGCGCAGACUCAGUGAGGGACGUGACUCUAUGCAAUUGGCACUUGAAACCUUAUUAAACGAAAUGCACAUUCCAGGGACAGACUCAGAGAGAGAAUCUACAGCCAGCACCGCCGAUGCCCCGUCACAGCACUAAGUACCGCCUCCCUUGCUGCUAUUUCUGGGUUCUAAAAGCUCCCUCCCACUGCCAGGCUUAACUUUUACUUAACGUAGCAAGAAGAGCAGCAUGUACAGUACACAGGAAUGGGUGUAUGAGCCGCAUUCUAUACUGUAGCACUCUCUCCCUUUGCAUUGACAACCAGCCCAGGCUUUUGUUACUCGGGCUUACUGCUCGCCAGUAAUUGAGACAGGCUGGCAUGAGGCUGAUUUUCCCACUGCCGACUAUGUUGCUGUUGGGAGAUUUGUUCCUGCAGAACCGACUGGCGGAGGGCAUGGGGUUGUCUUGUAAUUACAGACCCAGCUGGGCUUUUGAUGUUUUGUCAUUUGCAGCCCGUGUACAAGAUACGUAGCAUGGACACAUGAUAUUUUUGUGGAGCUAAUGAGUGCGAUGUCAUCAAAGCGAACAAGUAAAUUGAUAUAAUGUCCUUGCCCUAUUUGCUGGCGAAUGCUUUCAUCCAACUGCAGAGUUAAACUAGGGAAAUGAUCUCCCCCCGCCCCCAUCCUCAAACUAAGUUUCUUUAUCUGUCAACUUUUCGAGCUCCACUCUCCCCCGCCCCCCGACAAUCAAACGCCGUAGGCCGCUGUCUCUCAACACACCCCACCCCCUCUUUGGACUGGAAUGAGCUGGCUCUGUUGGACGAGGCGAGUGUAAAUGAUAUGAUCUCCCCUACUGGCUUGGCCAGGGGGAUGGAAUCUUGCUAAGGUUUCUGCCGUGCUGCUGUUGAAAAUGCCAGGUGCCUUGAAAGGUUUUUUUAAAAAGCGCGGGGGGAUGGGAGAGGGAGAAAUAAACCACCCUCGGAGAAACAAUUGUGUUGAGCUUAUGUCACAUGAAAAACCCUGUUCUAAAAUUACACGGAGGACGUUUAAUCCCAAAACUGAAGCGUUUUUACAUGCAAACGCCGCAUGAUUCUGCUCUGGGGGAUUUCCAGAAACGGUGCCGCUUGCUAAUGCGUCUUCUGACAGUGUCAUUCCCCCCACCCUGCGCGCGCGCCGUGCAACCGGGUGUUGAUGCAAAACACGCUUCCCCCCACCCACAUCAGUGCAAGUGCAACGAGGAUUUUGAUACAACGCCGCCCAUCCCCGUACACAGCGUGGAACUAGGGACUGAAAUUGGAUUCCUUCCAACCCGGCUGCAGAAAUUGCUGCCUACACAUUCACAGAGGAGCGCAGGGUUUCUAGGGUGAGGCAAUGCGUCUGCGAUUCGCAGAGACAAGGCAGGAAUUCUAUUGUUCACAAUGGAAGCUAACUGAUGGUAGCAGAAGUUAAGGGAAACAGUGGAUAAAAAAUAAAAUGCCAAAAGGCAAGAUGAAGGUCAUCACACUAGCUCAGUUUGGAAGAAAAUGUGUCAGAGAAUCAGAAAAAAAUCCAAACAGAAGUUUGAUGUCAUCUUUUUACUUUAUAUGGAACCCUGUUAUUGACUCUUUGAAGCCUGCUAUGAGGGACUCUUUUGGAAUAAUUUCUCAGUGGAUCUGGGAUACCACGUUUGCAAGACACUUGUGAAAAGGAAACAUCAGGAAGGCCAUGAUAUGCCACUUGUCCACAGAUAAGGCCUGAAAUAUGGAGAUGAUAAGUCUUGUCUUAUUUUGUUAUGAUUUUGUUAUGAUUUUUCCUAUAAAAAAGUAUUCAUGCAUAUAUAUGAGUAUGCUAAUUUUCAGAAAGAUACACUGUAAAAAACUAAAUGCCCAAUCCUGCAAUGUUUAGCAGACUACUCUGCUCCUGCUGAGGUAGUCUACAGCAAAAUUUGUAAGAAUAAAAUGAGUUUGUUGGAGAGAAUGGAAAAUGUUAAACCUUUUAAUUAAUUUUGUUUUUAAUCCAGCAGCUGACUUUUUUCAUUUUCAGGUAGCACAGUUGAAAAAUCUAGCAAAAUGACCUUAUUCCUCUGUAUUAGAGAGUCAGAUGCAACAGAUAUUUACAAUGUGUCUUGCCAGGAAGGGAGAGGAUUAUGAAAAUAUUUGAGAAGUUCAGAGGUUACUACAAUCCAAUUAAAAAUAGAGACUUGUGAGCAAUGUUUCCAGGUGCCAGAAGUGAGGACAGUUUAGGUCAAGCUUCUAAUAGUUUUCCUCAGAUUGAUAAAUAGGGAACGUCACAUUUUCUAUCCCUACUUCGCGUUGCUCCUUUGCAUCCAAAAAUGCAAUCAACAACUGGAUUUGUUGAGAUCUGAAAGUGGAUGGAGUGCACCCUGGCUUUGGAUUUCCUGAUGUGAGGGGUGGAGGGAUGGUGGUGACCCCAGUGACCCCUUUUAAAAAUAAACAGGAAGUCAUGGAAUCUGUGACCCCUCUGUGACAUAGCUGUAGUUGCGUUCAUUGCUUUAUACACAUUAGUUCAAUAGGCUACUAAAUACCCCACAGAAAAUGGGAAAAGGACAAGUAUUUAACAGGAAGCCUGUUACAAACUGAGACUAAAACACAGAACUAAGAUUAUCAUUUGGCAGGCACGAUUUUUUGUUGUUGUUAAGAACGCCUAGUUUGGCCUGCAUACAACUAACAAAUAAUUAAU